rnacentral:lncRNA from 1 species
CGUGAACGGAGGGUGUUGAAAGCAGAGUUGGUUUGCCAGGACUUAACACUCUCAAACAUACAUUCAGGGUCUUUAAAAAGCUUUUAGUGUGGUGAGAGGCAACAGCUGCAGGCUAGGCUCAGGGCUACCAUCUGAGGGCAAUCUUGCAGGCACAGUGGGAACCUGCGAGGAAAGUUGCAGUACGGACUGAGAGGUAAUUCUGUACUGGCAGAAGGCUAAAUGCUGGCAGGAUAUCGCUAAUGUCAUUUCCGUGGCCCAUCACCGGCCUUAUAUUCCUAAGUAUAUAAAUUCCACACCUGUUCAGAUACUUGAAGGUCGGGCAACCUAGAGGCAAUCUAGAAUUGUUAUCAGAGGUUAUCUCAAUGCUGAUUGGUUGUAAUAAAGAGCUGACAGCCAAUAGCUGGGCAGGAAGUAGGGGGUGGAACUUCCAGGCAAAGACAAUGAUAAAGGGAAAGAAAGCAAAGCUGCAGCCAGUCACGUGGCAGAUCGUUGGCACGUAGUCCAGUUAAAUUAGAUAAGCUAGCUGGAAGAUGGCCCAAGCAAAAGGCCUAAGCUUUAAACUGCCUAGAAGACUUCAUGUCAUUAUUUACAGUGCAGGUCUUUCCACAGCAUGUUCUCCUGUCUCAGCUGACACCACUCUGACAAUCAACCUGAGCCCAAGAAGCCACAGCACACCACCAGAAGCUUUUCCGUGUGUUUCUCUUUAUGGAGUCCCAACAAAUGGAGCUCAAUGAUGCAAUGAGAAAGAGCAUAAGGUGAGUGAGUAGGGAAGUGGAGCAGAACUGGAAGGAAUUGACAAAGAAGAAAAACAUGAUCAAAGUAUAUUAUGUUUGAGGUAUAACGGUUAUUCCUGGUUGUCAACUUGACAAUAUCUGGAAUGAACAACAAUCCAGAAUUGGAAGGCUCACCAGUGAUCCUAAUCUGGAGGCUGGGAGAUAGAAGUUUCUGACCUGGAUCUUGGCAUGGAGAUUUUGAGGCAUAGUGGCUAUGAAUUCCAGAAGAUUAAGACAGGGAGAUCUCUGAGUUCAUGGUCAUCUGGGAUUAAAGGCAUGGUGACAAACACCUUUAAUCUGGGCCACACCUUCUGCUGGAGACCUACAUAAGGACACGAAGAAGGAAGAUUCUCUUUUUCAUUGCUUGCCUUGUGGGACUGAGCAACUGUUAGAUCCUUGGACUUCCAUUCACAGCUGCUGCUGACCAAUUUUUGGAGUUAGACUGUAGACUCCUACAGUAUUAUUUGCUGUCUGUGGCCCAAACAAACUGUGCACAAUGCAGUGAAGAAAUAAAGUGCUGGACAAGAAGUGGAAGGAUGAGGAGGCUGCAGAGGACUUAACGUCCUGCUGAGUGGUGUUCUGAGGGGCAGAAGGAGCCUCUCUUGGUUCCAAAGCUUAAGGAAAAACACAGAGAAACCAUCACAAACAAGACCAGCUCCAAACAGAGCAUGGCAGGAUAAAUGCAGACCACUGGAGGCUGCCGUAAGCCCACAGGAAGAGGACCCGGGUCAGAAGAGGAACCACACAGCAGACCUGAAGAAGGAAGAGCUCAAAAGAGGAGAUAAUGGCUGGAGGGCAUGGUAGACAGAAGCAGGAGAAAGGCCAUUAAGAAUUCAGUCAGGCAGCACCAGUAUCACUUGGUUGAGUUGCUUGCCAAGGUUGUCCCAGGGCCAAGAUGCAAAGCAGAAAGGAACAGAAACCACCAAGACUAGCAGCUGGGGGUCACGGUCACACAGGAAAACAGGUUCAGAAGGGGACAUUUUUCACACAAUGAGUUGGACCAAGGAGAUGGGAAAGCCAGGAUUAUUUCCAAAUUCCUACAUGGGGAAUUAUUUUCAAAGACUGAGCCAGAAGCUACAAAGAUCUGACAUCAAAGCAUCCAAGAUCCAGGAAGGAGGAGGACGGUGCCUUCAUCGGGAGAGCCUGAGGAACUGAGGUACACUCCAGACUGGAUGCUCUCACAAACCGCAAGCGUCUGUGACUACUCAUCAUCCAGAAGGAGAGGAGGCCAGAGCGAAGACCAAGUUCUAAUCCCGUCCCUUUGACGUCUAAAGGUUCACAUGACUGAAGAAAAGGACAAAAUUACCAGAGCAUCUGCAGAAUCAUAACGUGCCUGCAUGGCCUCAGACCCACUCUACCCGAGAGUCCAGGCCUGUCGUGAGUGUUGCAAACCAGGUGUUAUAGCUAGCUUUUCUGUUGCUAUACUAAACUUAAAAAAAGCAUCUUGCAGAGGACCAGGUUUGUUUCCACGGCUUACAUGUCUCCAUCACAGCUCGCCAUGAAGGGAAGUCAGGCAGGAACUCAGACAGAGCGUGAGCCUGGAGGCAGGAACUGAGGCAGCGAGAUGAGGGAGGAGUGCUGCUUACUCUCUAUGGCCUGCUCAGCUUGCUUCCUUCCACAGCUCAGGUCUCUCUGGAGCCCAGGGUAGCACCUCCCACCGUGGGCUAAGCCUUCCUACAUCCAUUAGCAAUUGGGUGAGGUUCCCUCUUCCUAGGUGACUCCAGAUUUGUGGUAGUUGACCACUGAAGCUAACUCUCACUCACAAGACACAGGCCUUGAGCCCUGUGCUGGUUUUGGCAGAAGCAUUACGUGUAGGAAAGGCAAAUCCAUAUGCAGAAGAAGUACUCCGGUAAGAACAAGUCACAGUCCUUUCCAUGAAAGAAUGAUCUAAUGUAGUCAACCUGCCACCAGGUUGCUGGUUGGUCAUAACUGGAACGGUAGAAAACAGAACUGGGAGAGAGAGGACUAUAGUACCACUCAUCACACCACAAUGGGGACAUACAGCCUGCCCAGUGCCAAGAGUCAUCCC